rnacentral:tRNA from 1 species
GGGGAGAGUGAUCGAGUGGUUAAAAGCGACAGACUGUAAAUCUGUUGAAGUUUUUCUGCGUAGGUUCGAAUCAUGCCUCUCCCAC